rnacentral:rRNA from 1 species
AGUGAACGCUGGCGGUAGGCCUAACACAUGCAAGUCGAACGGCAGCACAGUAAGAGCUUGCUCUUACGGGUGGCGAGUGGCGGACGGGUGAGGAAUACAUCGGAAUCUACUUUUUCGUGGGUGAUAACGGAGGGAAACUUACGCUAAUACCGCAUAUGACCUACGGGUUAAAUCAGUGGAUCUUCGCACCUUGCGCGACUGAAUGAGCCGGUUUCGGGUUAGCUAAUUGGCGGGGUAAAGGCCCACCAAGGCGACGAUCCGUAGCUGGUCUGAGAGGAUGGUCGGCCACACUGGAACGUAGAAACGGUCCAGGCUCCUACGGGGGGCAGCAGUAGGGAAAUUUCGGAAAUGGGCGGAAACCCUACGCAGCAAAGCCGCGUGGGUGAAAAAGGGCUUCGGAUUGUAAAACCCUUUUUUUGGGGAAGAAAAAAUGGCUAAGUAAAUCCGCACGUUUUGAAGGUACCUAAUAAGAAAGACACGGGUAACUUCGGG